GACGAACGCUGGCGGCGUGCCUAAUACAUGCAAGUCGAACGCAGUGGGGACGGGUGAGUAACACGUUGGUAACCUCCCAUCAGAGGGGAUAACACUUGGAAACAGGUGCUAAACCGAUACUGAUGGAUGGACCCGCGGUGCAUUAGCUAGUUGGUGAGGUAACGGCUCACCAAGGCCACGAUGCAUAGCCGAACUGGGAGGGUGAUCGGCCACACUGGGACGGGGACAAGGCCCAGACUACUACGGGAGGCAGGAGUAGGGAAUCUUCGGCAAUGGACGAAAGGCUGACCGAGCAACGACGGGGGAGUGAAGAAGGUUUUCGGAUCGUAAAGCUCUGUUGGUAAGGAAGCGGUACUUAACCAGAAAGGGACGGCUAACUACGUGCCAGCAGCCGCGGUAAUAC
rnacentral:rRNA from 1 species